UUACUCAGACAAUCAGGCUUCUGCAAAAAGAGGAAGUUUGGAAACUAAAGAUGAUAUUCCAUUUCGAAAAGUUCUUGGUAAUCCGGGUAGAGGAUCGAUUAAGACUGUAGCAGGAAGUGGAAUAGCUCGGACGAUUCCUUCUUUGACAUCUACUUCAACACCUCUUAGAUCAGGGUUGCUAGAAAAUCGUACUGAAAAGAGGAAAAGAAUGAUAUCAACUGGCUCAGAAUUGAAUGAAGAUUACCCUAAGGAAAAUGAUUCAUCAUCGGCUUUUACCUUUACAGUCAUCAUCCUUUUAUGGUAGCAGAGCUGGAUCCAAGGAACACUCUUCUGGUGGCACUAACUUAGACAGGACUAAUGUUUCAAGCCAGACUCCCUCUGCCAAAAGAAGUUUGGGAUUUCUUCCUCAGCCAGUUCCUCUUUCUGUUAAAAAACUGAGGUGUAACCAGGAUUACACUGGCUGGAAUAAACCAAGAGUGCCCCUUU
rnacentral:lncRNA from 1 species